CAAUAGCGUAUAUUAAAGUUGUUGCAGUUAAAAAGCUCGUAGUUGAAUUUUGGAUUUGUUUGCAGGGUCUCUUCGAAAGAGGAGCACUUUGUGAAUGGGUCUUGUUUGUAGUGAACCCAUGUGUCAUUUACUUGGUGUGCGGUGGAACUACAGGUUUACUUUGAAAAAAUUAGAGUGUUUAUGGCAAGCAUCGCUUGAAUACAUUAGCAUGGAAUAAUAGAAUAGGACUUUGGUUCUAUUUUGUUGGUUUCUAGGACCAAGGUAAUGAUUAAUAGGGAUAGUUGGGGGCAUUAGUAUUUCAUUGUCAGAGGUGAAAUUCUUGGAUUUAUGAAAGACUAACUUGUGCGAAAGCAUCUGUCCAGAAUGUUUUCAUUAA
rnacentral:rRNA from 1 species